UACGGGGGGGGCAAGCGUUGUUCGGAAUUACUGGGCGUAAAGGGCUCGUAGGUGGCCGACUAAGUCGGACGUGAAAUCCCUCGGCUUAACCGGGGAACUGCGUCCGAUACUGGAUGGCUUGAGUUUGGGAGAGGGACGCGGAAUUCCAGGUGUAGCGGUGAAAUGCGUAGAUAUCUGGAGGAACACCGGUGGCGAAGGCGGCGUCCUGGACCAAUACUGACACUGAUGAGCGAAAGCCAGGGAGCAAACGGG
rnacentral:rRNA from 1 species